UUGCAGGGUAGAAUACUCC
rnacentral:miRNA from 1 species